AUCACACAGAGCUAGUGUGGUGUGGGGAUUAGGAAAUCAGACUCAACUGCUUAAAGCAGGGUAAGGAAAUAUGGGGCCCUCUAAACAUUGCUUGACUUCAACUCCCAUCAGCCCUAGCUUCUAGGGUCAAAGGUCAGGGGUGAAGGGAGGUGCAGUUCAGCAACAGCUGCAGAGCCACAUGUCCAUCCCAUCUCCCAGCCCGAAGCUUACAUAGCUUAUGCACUCUUGGGAGCAGAGGGGGAAAGUGAUUAAUAAGUUCUUUCAUCACUGGAACAGACACAAUCAAUUCAGAGCAAACAGCUGGAGUGAUGUAUUUAAGAGAUCAAUGUUAACUGUCAAUGACAAGGAAAAUCUAGUGACGAAUUGGAUAAUUAUUAUAUCCACACUAGUAUAAUAGUAAUAAUAAUACCCAGCUUUUAAUGUAUUUUGAGCCCUGUUCAGGCACAUGACAAUUACGGCAUGCAGGACUACAGUGUGGCGAUGAACAUUUGCCCCAUAUGGGUGCCGGACCCUUCCUAACACUGUCCAUGGGCAGAGGGCAAUGUCUGAAACAGGGGAGUCUGCCAGAUACCUGUAGUUUAUCCCUGUGGGUUGGAAUCCUUAGGAUUCCAGGUCAUGGGGUCAGUCUACGUGUAUCUGGCAAGGCUGCUGAAAUAUACCCGGAGUCGAGUGUGGAUUUCAUGCUCUUUAUUCAGCUCAUAGUAGUGAGGAAUGCCAGUUCCCCCGAAAUGUCUGCUUUAUAAACAUUAUUUACACAAUGGGCCCCACGUGAUUGGCUAAUUCCGGGAUUCUCCUGUAGGCCAAUCAGGUUGCGGAUUCACUUCCACCUAGAGUUGGAUUGGGUGGCUCCUGCAGACCAAUCAGACUGCUGUAUUUUGGAUCCUAUUGUUCUAGGACCGAUCAGACUGCUGCAUUCUGAAUCCUAUUCAACUCAGUACAUAACAGCUGCCCUCCUGCAGAUAUUGCCCUGCAGAAAACAAGAUUGCCAAGACGUACUCUGCAAAAUUGACACACAACCCCCUCACUCUGCUCUGAUGGGGGGUUUUUUUGGGGGGGGGAGGAGACACAGUAAUCCAUUUCCCCUUCCUCAUCUCUGCCAUGUUUCUAUUUAGGUUUAACAUGGACCCCACCCCCAAAUUGAUUUGGGACCAGAUCCAAGGGUGGAUUGGCCCCAGGUUGGCCUGUCUGCAGGUGGAGGGGUUGAAUCUGAGCCACAGUGCAGAUCGGGGGGCUGUGUGUAUUUAUCUUUUUUAUUUAUCUAAACAAGCACAAACAUUUUAAUGACACAAAAGAGGGAGGGAGACAAAAAAAGCCUGAAUAAAAACUAAAAUGAAACAUACACACCAAGUACAAACUAUGGUAGUUUCAUUCACAUUCCCUAUUCAGCCCUGGUGAUUAUUAUAAUGAUCAUACCCAUUAUUAGAAUCGUAAGCACACAAACAGAGCUCUGUAAUAAGACUGGGAAAUACAAAUCCCAUUUAAGCCAUGAAAGUCAAUGGAUAACUAACCUGACACCAGUUGCUAUCUCUCAGCCCAACCUACAUCAAAGGGUCGUUGUUACGAUACAAUGAGGGGUGGAGGAGCUGACCAGGGCUUCUUAGAGGAGCGUUCUGAUAAUAAUAUAUAAAAGAAAUAAAACAUUGGUUAAAACUACCAAGGGCAGGCAAAGAAAUCCACUUCAGAAGUGAGCAGGCUUCUGAAGUGAAUGUCUUUGAGGCUAGCUGUUUAUUUGCAGAGAGCCAGUUUUAUAUGUACAGUGAGCUUCGGAAUAUGAAGCUGCUAUGUGUUACCUUGCAAGCGGUAUCAGCUGAAACUUUUUCAAAAUCCAGAAUGGAUCUUCUUCUUUGGUACAAAGCAAUAAAAGUGCUGUUUCGCUGUAUUGCAGGGGCGGGGGCGGGAAAAACAUUAAGGAACGCAAUGUUUACAGAGAAGACCACAGAAAGGUCAGCUUCCUUUCAGGCACAAAUCCAAACACUAAUAAAGCUCCACUCCAUAUCUCCGCGCCCAACGGUUGGCAAACCAAGCCAACUUUCAGUCAAAAUGAUGUACUGAAUUAUUCUCCGCCGGACAGAGUUUUAAUGUAUACCAAACCACCCUGAAUUCGGCCUUUUCCAAAAGACGUUUAUAAGAAGGUGCUUUCAGAUGCUAAGUGCCAGCCUCAGCAGAUAACCUAGAGAGAGCAUUUCAGACGGAUUUAUUCCCAAUACACCCCCAAGGAUAAUCUUCUAUAUCAUGGCCAAGGUCAACAGGAUUCUCACAAGGAGAAGAUUUUAGGGAGCCGUGUCUGCUUGUAGGGGAGGUGGAAACUAAUUUGUGGCAGACACUUCAGGAUUUGAAGUAGAAGCUUUGAGGUUCAAAAUGAGCACCACACUCCGCUUGCCAAUAAAUCCUCUCAGGUGACCCUUAGGGAGUUGUUCUCUCUCUCAGUCCCUGAGCUGUGAAAUGGGAAGAAUGACAUCCCUCCUUCCUGGGAUUGUUGUUGCCACUGAAGAGGAAAAUGAAGGGCUGCGCACAUUAAGAAGCAAUGUUAAAACGGUUAGAAGCUAUUUAUUUACUUACCGCAAUUCUAUACUGCCUUUUAACACAAUCAUCAGUAGUCCGCUUGGACUACUGCAAUGUGCUCUACAUGGGGCUACCUUUGAAGGUGACCCGGAAACUGCAAUUAAUCCAGAAUGCGGCAGCUAGACUGGUGACUGGGAGUGGCCGCCGGGACCACAUAACCCGAGAGAUCUGCAUUGGCUCCCAGUACGUUUCCGAGCACAAUUCAAAGUGUUGGUGCUGACCUUUAAAGCCCUAAAUGGCCUCGGUCCAGUAUAUCUGAAGGAGCGUCUUCACCCCCAUCGUUCAGCCCGGACACUGAGAUCCAGCGCCGAGGGCCUUCUAGCAGUUCCCUCAUUGAGAGAAGUGAAGUUACAGGGAACCAGACAGAGGGCCUUCUCGGUAGUGGCACCCGCCCUGUGGAACACCCUCCCUUCAGAUGUGAAGGAAAUAAGCAGCUAUCCUAUCUUUAAAAGACAUCUGAAGGCAGCCCUGUUUAGGGAAGUUUUUAAUAUUUAAUUCUGUAUUGUUUUUAACAUUUGACUGGGAGCCGCCCAGAGUGGCUGGGGAGACUCAGCCAGAUGGGCGGGGUAUAAAUAAUAAAUAAUAAUAAUAAUAAUAAUAAUAAUAAUUCCCAAGGCGAUUUGAAAUAACUUUCUAAAAAGGGAGAAAGAAUCUGCAAAUGUGCAUAGAAUGUUUUAAUAAAACAGAUUUUAAAACUGGAGCGACAAUAAAAAAAGCACUUCUGAUUAACUGAUAUACUCCUGUGAGAAUAAUAAUAAAAAGGCACUUAGAAUAUAGUCACUUGAGAGUCUAGUAAGCUCUGGUCUGAGCAGAAGCUCAUCUCAGCUCCCAGUAAGAUGGCACUAGGGGUACUGUUUCACUGGCAGAUCUUUAAACCCCAAGGUGAGUUCAGAAGGGAGAACGAGAUGCUAAAAUAGUCCGGGCUAAGCCAUGUAGGGCUUUCAAGAUGAAAACCAGCAUAUUGUGGGGAUUUCAGUAUCCUGGUUGGCUGCGGAAAUGCUCCUUCUGGAUGUUCCCCCUAUGGAGUAGAGUUAUAGUUUGUGGGGCUCCUGGAUCCCAGGAUUGCAACCAGAUUCUGCAUGGUCAGCUGUGCAUAGGAAAAACCCUUCCCUAGAUAGAUCCAUGCUCUACCCACGGAUCCUGCAGAGGAAUGAGCAACAUCAGGUGUGGUGCUGUGAUGAGCAGGGGCUGUGCUGUGUGCAACACAGGGGCAAAGAGCACCUGAAUAUGGCUCCUGGCUUCCUCUUGAGGACUUCAAAGCAAUUAAUGCACGAACAGACCAAAUGCUGAAACUGACUUUCGAUGGUAUUCUGUUAUUAAUUGUACUUACUGUAUGUACUGUAAUUUAAUCAUUGGAUGCGGUCAACCAGUUAUAUGGAACUGAGUACAGCACAACUACCAUUUUAAAUAUUUUGAUGUCUUGUAACUGUGCCACAUGGUAUCAGCAUAUUGAUGAUAACUCACGCCUUACCUUCCGGAUGAUCUCUCUUAACCCGUUUCAUGAAGAUGUUAAUCAAAAACAGGUCCCCAAAGGGGGAGCUCGCGCCAAGACAUUUUGUCUCAACAUAAUCAUGGUAAUUUCAACACUCUGCUGGGGAGCACAACUACGGCUUAACCACAUGCCACCAGAUGUCGAUGCAGACUAUGGACUAGCCACUUGAGCUGCACUCUUCAAAACGUGUCGCGCAGCAACAGCAAAAUUAAAAAUUAAAAAAUGAGGCACUUCUCAAUCUGCAGUGGGUGCAAUUCCUAUUCAAUAGCGGUGUGGCAUUUGGCUGCAGAGUACGCAGAAGCUUGCUCAGCAUAUUGUGCUUCCUAUCACCCUUAUAGCUAAGUUGUUGAAGAUGAUUUAUUUAGAGGGCCUCUGAAUACCUGGCAUCUUGCUGUAUUUCAGGAACAGAAGACUCGCACCUCUCCAGCUCAAGUUUGCUAACCCUACAAAGCUUCUGGGGCCCCAUUGCUAAAGUAUUCUUACUGAAAAUAGGAGCACAGUCGAUGGGAUUCCCUUCAGAAGUUGUUGGGAACCAACUCUCACUGGCUCCAGCCAGCAUGGCCAUUGGUUUGGGACAGUGUUUGAAAUUCGCCAGGCACCAGGUACAUUUUGAAGCUGGCUAUUGGCCACUUACGACCAAGCGAAGAUGCCCGGGUCCCAGGAUGGCGCUUGACAUCUCCACCAUCUAGAGGUGCAUUCCUGGGGAGAUUCUGGGAUCCUGACGGUUUUCACGUACUAGCAACACACCCUGUAGAAUUCUACUUGUGAUAUUUUAUCUGCACAAUCAGAACAAAUUUCAGAAACCAAAAAGUCGUACUGAAAAAUACAACAUUUGAGCUGUUUGGCCCCAAAAUGGCAACUGGACAUCCCAUUUUGGCGACUGUAACCCUGGUUUAAGGAGCCUUUUGUGCCUAGAUUAUAUAUUUGAGUUUCAAACCCCUUUUUUGGGAUGGUGGAAGGCUGUUGUAAAUCAUUUCAUAUACCAGGAGUGGGGAACCUCAGGCCUGGGAGUGGCCCUCCAACCCAGUCAGUGAGUGUUGAGGGCUUGGGCACCAUCCCAAAGUGACCGACAGAGAAACAUGGAAGGCAGAAUCCGGCCCCUGAGCCUUAAAAGUCCCUACCCCAUAUUAAAAAGCAUCCCAGGUAUGUAAACAUGGCCAGAGUAAUGCACAGGAUUCAUUGCAGAGAGACUUGCACUGAAGAAUACUUUAGCAAUGGGGCCCCAGAAGCUUUUUCAGACAGGUGAGAAGAAGCCGUUACUUUAAACAGCUCUGGCUUUUGAAAGAGGCAAACAAAAACGAAAGGUAUUCAAAGUCUGCUUCAAAGCAGGUGUCAGCUAUUAAUGGGCAGGCUGGGUGUGUACUUGGUACCCAUAAUGUUCACACACCCUGAGAGGGAGAUAAAGCAUGAGAGGCACUCGUUUUUCCGACGGCAGCCAUGCCGUGCCCGUGCAUUUAAAGAAAUGUGCAGAAUGGCACAGCCUUCAUUAUUCUAUUGCUUCAGACAUCAACUGGCCAAAGGAAUCUAAUUUAAGAGAAAGAGGGAACGCGAGACGACGGCGAUUUAUUAGUCUUUUUUCUUUCUUUUUCUUUCAAAAAAAUGAACUCAAAGCGACUUGCAAAAUGCAAAGAUCAAAAGGAGAUUGAAAUAAGUGCUUUGGUAUUGAAAAUGGAAGGCUUCUUUAAAGAAAAGAAAAAGGGACAGGAGAAAUACUCUCCCUUUCACGAUAUCCGAUUGUUCCUUGCAAACUAAGCACCAGGCCACGCAGAUUAAGAAAGCAUUAAGGAAGAAUGUGGAAGGAAACUUGAAUUAAAAG